AGGACGAACGCUGGCGGCGUGCUUAACACAUGCAAGUCGAGCGGUAAGGCCUCCUUCGGGGGGUACACGAGCGGCGAACGGGUGAGUAACACGUGGGUGACCUGCCCUCAGCUCUGGGAUAAGCCUGGGAAACCGGGUCUAAUACCGGAUAGGACUGCUUGCCGCAUGGUGGGUGGUGGAAAGUUUUUUCGGCUGGGGAUGGGCCCGCGGCCUAUCAGCUUGUUGGUGGGUGAUGGCCUACCAAGGCGGUGACGGGUA
rnacentral:rRNA from 1 species